AUGAAUUAUGUAAAAAAAACUAGAACAAAAUAUAUAAUGUUGUAAGCGGCUAUCAUAUGUGAAUCCACACAAUUGAUAUCUCACUAUAAUUUACCAGUUUGAAGUGACAAAAUAGAUGCUUAUUACAGAAAGGAAUAUACCCUAUCACAGAAUCCAUAAUAUCAACAAAAUUAACACCAAGUUCAACAAAACCAAUAUCAACACAAUAGUUAAGUUAGACAAAACAGAUAAAACAGACAAAACAGAUAUUUUCAGAUUCAGAUUAUCUAUUCUGUGAAACAUUUCUGUCAGUCAAAUUAGUGAACCAAUGAGAUGCAAGCAUACUUCUUAACCAAUAACAAGCACUCUUUAACUGAAGUCCAUUUAUCUAUUAAUUCACAUUUCAAAUAGCAACAGUUAUUUGGCCAAUAAUAUUAGGUUUCACUUUUUUUUCUGAUCCUGCAGCUUCUUGCCAUGUUUCCCCUCCCCUGAGGCUGCCAUUUUUCUAGCACAUGCUCUCCAGAAUGGAUCCUAGGGGUAUUAAUGUGAAGCUAUUAGCUGACAGCAUUUUGAACCUUUCAAAAAUAGUUGAGAAUUUGUCCUCUGCAAGCUCCAACACUGGGCUUCUUGCCAUGUUUCCCCUCCCCUGAGGCUGCCAUUUUCUAGCACAUGCUCUCCAGAAUGGAUCCUAGGGGUAUUAAUGUGAAGCUAUUAGCGGACAGCAUUUUGAACCUUUCAAAAAUAGUUGAGAAUUUGUCCUCUACAAGCUCCAACACUGGGCCUCUAGGGUCACAUCAUUCAACAAAACAAGGACACAUCAAUUCUGCC